CACUUGAAAUGUACAAGCUCCUGGUCCAGAGAUUAUGUGACACUCAAGUUUGAGCUCCUGGCUUGAUGAUUCCACAAAACUUUGGAUUCCAGUUGAAGUUAUUCCACAAAAUUUACAAUUUGAAUUGUCCCUGAUUUAGUCAUUUGAAAAUAUCACAAUAUCUCCACACAAAAUUAGAAUAUGAUUUGUGAAGGAUGGAAAAAAUUCCACACGAGAUCACAAAAAUUAAAAGCUUGGUUAAAUACACCAAGACUUGUAAAUAUCCAUCACAGAAUCUCUUCAAGGUUAACACAACAAGAGAUCUUACAGAACUUCAACAUCUUCAUCAGGAAACACUUGAGGGGGAAAAAAAAAGUUUUAAAACUGAAGAUCAGAGAAACUAUGAAUGCUGGGAAAGCAUGUACACAUCGCAAACCAAUCAGCUGACUAGUAGAGUGUGGAUUAUUAGUCAAUUAUCUCAGCCCAGUCAAUCGAGACUUUGACCCGUUCCCAAACACCACAGUGACUCAGAAAAGCCAGAAAAAAACUUCAGCUUCUUCCUCGAGUACCAGCUGCCGAAACCCAAACUUAUAAAACACACCUCUCCUUGAGGUUGUAUAGAUAUCAAAAAUUAAAAACACAGGUUUUCUUCCAUGAAAGAAUCCUAAACACCAGCAUCCAAUUGUAAAAGGCUAAAUCGAAAACCUGAGCCGGCUAAGUAAAACGCUUGUUUGGUGGUAUUUAGCAAGCCAUUAGGAGGAGGUGCCAAUAGACUUGAGUGCCAGAUGGUCUGGAGUAUGGUAUCCUCAUCACAGUGAUCAUCACCCUUGUAGGGGUAGCCAGGCCCGAGAGAGGGAGGCAGCCUCCGUACCCACAGCUCCAAGUCAAUAUCAUCAUUUAAAGAAAAGAUUGGUGACCAGAAAUUAACUACGAAGAGGACAAGAUGUCAAGCUACAAAGAUGUCAUCUACUUUAUCAGAUUUCUCUCUGAAACAGCCUGCAUGCUACUGCGUCCAGUCUACAUAUGUUUGCAUCUUCUAGAGGAGCCUGAACGACAAUAUGGCAUAAAGCUAGCAAGUCCAACAGUCAAAGACAAAAUGAAGUGAACUGAAAAGAUACAAACGAUUAUUUAUAAAAACUGAUGUAAAGUAGUAUAGCUGACUUGUUGUCAAAUUAAUGUUGAUGAUAUAGAAACAUAAUAUGUCUUGAAGACUUGAAGUGUGCGUGGAUAUAUCAAUGAAAAACAUUUAAUUCCGCGACAAUCAAAAGUUUUGACCAUUUGUUUAUCAAAGAAUUUUAUUUUUGUAUAGAGUUCAGAAAACUUCUACUACAAUUUGAACAUCUUUGAAACUGAGGUUUCAUAAUUAAUAACUUUGAGUACAUAUCAUAUGAAGCUGUGUUUCCUUGAAAAGAAUCACGAUUCAGCUAUUUUUGUAGUUUUGUUUCAGUAUUUGAUUCUUGUCGAUCUAGUCUGGAGACCUUUCUCUUUUUCGAUCUUAUUAAUUAAUUUUCUUUCAAACUUAACACUACAUUAUGACAUGUAGUUGCAAUUUCUUAUUGGCAUUUUAAUCGAGAUGUGAAUGGAAGUGUUACCAUUUUCAUGGUUUUUGCUUGUGUGUGUUUGAUUCAAAAUA